rnacentral:rRNA from 1 species
UAGAGUUUGAUCAUGGCUCAGAUUGAACGCUGGCGGCAGGCCUAACACAUGCAAGUCGAACGGUAACAGGAAGCAGCUUGCUGCUUUGCUGACGAGUGGCGGACGGGUGAGUAAUGUCUGGGAAACUGCCCGGUGGAGGGGGAUAACUACUGGAAACGGUAGCUAAUACCGCAUAACGUCGCAAGACCAAAGAGGGGGACCUUCGGGCCUCUUGCCACCGGAUGUGCCCAGAUGGGAUUAGCUUGUUGGUGAGGUAACGGCUCACCAAGGCGACGAUCCCUAGCUGGUCUGAGAGGAUGACCAGCCACACUGGAACUGAGACACGGUCCAGACUCCUACGGGAGGCAGCAGUGGGGAAUAUUGCACAAUGGGCGCAAGCCUGAUGCAGCCAUGCCGCGUGUAUGAAGAAGGCCUUCGGGUUGUAAAGUACUUUUCAGCGGGGAGGAAGGGAUUGUGGUUAAUAACCGCAGUCAUUGACGUUACCCGCAGAAGAAGCACCGGCUAACUCCGUGCCAGCAGCCGCGGUAAUACGGAGGGUGCAAGCGUUAAUCGGAAUUACUGGGCGUAAAGCGCACGCAGGCGGUCUGUCAAGUCGGAUGUGAAAUCCCCGGGCUCAACCUGGGAACUGCAUUCGAAACUGGCAGGCUUGAGUCUCGUAGAGGGGGGUGGAAUUCCAGGUGUAGCGGUGAAAUGCGUAGAGAUCUGGAGGAAUACCGGUGGCGAAGGCGGCCCCCUGGACGAAGACUGACGCUCAGGUGCGAAAGCGUGGGGAGCAAACAGGAUUAGAUACCCUGGUAGUCCACGCCGUAAACGAUGUCUACUUGGAGGUUGUGCCCCUGAGGCGUGGCUUCCGGAGCUAACGCGUUAAGUAGACCGCCUGGGGAGUACGGCCGCAAGGUUAAAACUCAAAUGAAUUGACGGGGGCCCGCACAAGCGGUGGAGCAUGUGGUUUAAUUCGAUGCAACGCGAAGAACCUUACCUGGUCUUGACAUCCACGGAAGACUGCAGAGAUGCGGUUGUGCCUUCGGGAACUCUGAGACAGGUGCUGCAUGGCUGUCGUCAGCUCGUGUUGUGAAAUGUUGGGUUAAGUCCCGCAACGAGCGCAACCCUUAUCCUUUGUUGCCAGCGGUCCGGCCGGGAACUCAAAGGAGACUGCCAGUGAUAAACUGGAGGAAGGUGGGGAUGACGUCAAGUCAUCAUGGCCCUUACGACCAGGGCUACACACGUGCUACAAUGGCAUAUACAAAGAGAAGCGACCUCGCGAGAGCAAGCGGACCUCAUAAAGUAUGUCGUAGUCCGGAUUGGAGUCUGCAACUCGACUCCAUGAAGUCGGAAUCGCUAGUAAUCGUGGAUCAGAAUGCCACGGUGAAUACGUUCCCGGGCCUUGUACACACCGCCCGUCACACCAUGGGAGUGGGUUGCAAAAGAAGUAGGUAGCUUAACCUUCGGGAGGGCGCUUACCACUUUGUGAUUCAUGACUGGGGUGAAGUCGUAACAAGGUAACCGUA